rnacentral:lncRNA from 1 species
AAGGUAUGGAGGGCAGAGCCAGGGAGGGGUGAGCAUGUCUUGGGACCGGACAGCCAGGCGUCUGGCACCGCCAUCACCGCUAUCGCUGCUCCUGGUGCUGGUGCUGCUGUCACGAGCCGGGACUCUGCAUCCUGAAUAGCUCUUUCCUUACGGGGAGUCGUGGGGAGACCGGCUGCUGCAGGAGGGCGACGUUGAAAGCUCCGCGGCUGUGAAGCUAGCAGUACGUAGAAGUAGCUUCUAUGGUGUCCAGUUCAGCAACCUCUACGUGAGCACCAAUGGGAUCAUCUCCACCCAGGACUUACCCAGGGAGACUUAAUAUGUCGUUGAUGAUUUUCCUACUGACUUCCCAGCCAUCGCCCCAUUCCUGGCUGACAUCCACUCGAGUCACAGCAGUGGCCGGAUCCUGUAUGGAGGACACCUCCUGGGCUGUGCUGAGUCUGGCUGCUUGCUACCUGUGCACAGGCUUCCCCCCUACCCACUUCUUCCUGGCCACCUGGGAGCAAGUGGGCGCCUAGGAGGAGGACAGGCUUGGUUGGGGCUGAGUGGUCUGGAGAGCUAUAGGAUCUUACCAUCACAUUCUGAUGGGUAGCCCUGAGCAAUGAGAAUUGACAACUCUGGUAUCAUCUCUGUGACAUCCUCGACCAACAACUUGAGAGCAAGGUGUCCUACAUCUGGCUCUGGACUUUUUGAGAACUUGUAGCCAAUGGAAGGAGAAUUACCCACCUUGUAACGUUCGUUGGUGUCUGCAAUUCCUUUUUGUCCACAGCUGAACACUUUCCAGGCCGUUCUGGCAUCCGAUGAAUGUGAUUCCUAUGCCCUCUUUCUCUAUCCUGCCAAUGGUCUUCAGUUUUUGGAACUCACCCCAAAGAAUCCUACAGUGUCCAGCUGCAGCUUCCUGCUAAGGUGGGAUUCUGCCAAGGGGAAGCAGAUGACGUGAAGAGAAAAGCCCUGUAUUUCAGCCUGACUAACAGUGAGCAGUAAGUGAAGAAUCUCUACCAGUGAGUAAUGUGGAGUGUGUGACUGUGCUAUGCACUGGAAGGACAUUUAGGAGGGACACUAUCUCUAGUGGCCAGAAACCAUUUGAUAAUAACCUUUGGUGGCUUCUAAGAAAGGCGCUGGUUGAAAACCAAGAGCUAAGCUGGACCUCUGGAGCUUCAGGCUGCCCAAGAUUUAAAAGAUUCUUUCUUUUUCCUGCACUAUCUGUCAGGCAUAAACCAGAACCAGAAGUGAUUAUAUGUUUUUGCAGAACUACUGGGAUUUGCUGUGAAAAACAUUGUUCUUGGGGCUACAUAAAAAUAUCCAGUC